ACGCGAGGAGGGGCUGACCCGGGCCGGGGGCGCUCGUAGGGUCGGCGAGCGGCCGGUUUGGCGGGACUCAGGGUUCCCGCCCUGAAGGCUGCAGGACCACCCUGAUCUCUGUCCCCUUAGGUGGCGCCUCCCGUGGACAUACGUCAAGCAGUCGUGCACUGGGUUACCUCCCGAAGGUGGGAGGUGCUCCACCCAGCAGCCCUGGCUGGAGAGUCCCCUGGCCUUGACCUGAGCAGGAGUUCUGGUCCGUGGGUAGUUGGGAUCCCCAUUUUAAACACGAUGGGGCGAGAAUUCCACCUGUCGAGCAAUUUAAAAGCACAGAGGUGACGGUGGCGUUCUUCUAUGCUGAGGCCAAAGUGGAUGGAGGCCUGGAGACAGAAAGAAAGGACUUCAAGAGCACCGCAGCCCGGGAUUAAGAGUGAAAACCGAGCACAUGGUCCUGGUCUUGCGGAGCAAUCAGGCCCAGGCUGUGGAACAGACUCUGACCUCACCAAAAGCUUAAGUCCAGUGGCGUCUGCAUUUUUCCUGAACAGAAGGACGCUUCGGAGAUUCUUCUUCAAACCCGUUGUCACAUACCAGACCCUUCUCUGCCUUGCAUGUUUUUCCUGAUUCCCUCCCUUUUCACCUUUGCGCCCCCCCCCAUCCUGCCAUCCUUUAUGGAGAUGCCUAUGGUGAAUCUUGUCUCUAGAAUGUCCUUCCUCAUCCUGCCUGGAGGUCCCUCGGUGCCACCUCUAAAGCCACAUUUACGUACUUCCUUCAGAGACUCACAGUCUUUCCAUUUUUGUAUAAUUGACCCUUUGUGUAGCUCUCACUCCUACAGAUGGAGCUUUAGGGCAAGCAACACCUUUUUGUAUUUCCAGUUUGUAGCAUAAUGAUUAGGGCAUUGCAGACAUACCAGUGUAUUGGCCAAUGGGUAAAUGAAGAAUGUAGGUGGGAAUUUAGAGAGCCAAUUGCAAUCAAAGUUCAAAGUGAGAGCAUGUUUGCUUUGAAAGGGAGCAGUUCAGACCUGAACUAUCUUUCCCAACUGUGACAGCUACUGAAGCUUGUCCAAAUUUAACUGUCCUUUAAAUGUGUAACACAUGUUCAUAAUAUUCAUAUUAAUUUUUGUCAAAGUGAUUAUAUUAUUUUGGGUUAAUAUUAA